rnacentral:rRNA from 1 species
GGACUACCGGGGUAUCUAAUCCUGUUUGCUCCCCCAGCUUUCGUGCUUCAGCGUCAGGAAACGGCCAGGGCGCUGCCUACGCCGUCGGUGUUCCUCCGGAUCUCUACGCAUUUCACCGCUCCACCCGGAAUUCCACGCCCCUCUCCGUCCCUCAAGCCACGCCGUCUGGAAAGCCCCCUCCCGGGUAAGCCGAGAGAUUUCACCCUCCACGCGCGCGGCCGCCUACGCACCCUUUACGCCCAGUAACUCCGGACAACGCUCGCCUCCUACGUAUUACCGCGGCGGCUGGCAC